UACGUAGGGUGCGAGCGUUAAUCGGAAUUACUGGGCGUAAAGCGUGCGCAGGCGGCUUUGCAAGACAGAUGUGAAAUCCCCGGGCUUAACCUGGGAACUGCAUUUGUGACUGCAUGGCUGGAGUGCGGCAGAGGGGGAUGGAAUUCCGCGUGUAGCAGUGAAAUGCGUAGAUAUGCGGAGGAACACCGGUGGCGAAGGCAAUCCCCUGGGCCAGAACUGACGCUCAUGCACGAAAGCGUGGGGAGCAAACAGG
rnacentral:rRNA from 1 species